CAAUAGCGUAUAUUAAAGUUGUUGCGGUUAAAAAGUUCGUAGUUGGAUUUCUGUGAAGGAUAACCGGUCCGCACUAUGUGCGUGUAUCUGUUUGUCCUUUGCAUCCUCGCGGAAUACGUCACUGUGCUUCACUGCAUGGGGCGGGCUUCGCGACUUUUACUUUGAGGAAAUUAGAGUGUUCACGGCAGGCUAACGCCAUGAAUAUAUUAGCAUGGAAUAAUAAUAUAGGACCUUGGUUCUAUUUUGUUGGUUUCUAGGGCUAAGGUAAUGAUUAAUAGGGACAAUUGGGGGCAUUCGUAUUAACGCGUCAGAGGUGGAAUUCUUGGAUUGCGUUACGACGAACUACUGCGAAAGCAUUUGCCAAGGAUGUUUUCAUUG
rnacentral:rRNA from 1 species